UGCUUAUAGUUGUGCAGAUCUGGACUGAGGUUUUGCUCUUUGAGUGUAGAGUUUCAGUAACUGUGUGUUAUUUUUAAUUUUAGUGUGUAAGCAAUCGUAAAAACUGUAAAUCCCUGAAGAAGGGGUGAUUUACAAAAAAAAAAAAAAAAAAAUGUUGGUCAUGCUGUCAAGAGAGGGGAUUGUGAAUUAUUCAACAUCUCUCUGCCAAUUAGGUUUUGAAUAACUGUGUGUAUGUGAUAUCUCCAAAAACAGAAUAUCAUGGCAAAGGUGUUUGCUACAUGAGACAAAUGUGUAGCCACGCCCACACUGACGACGGACAAGCGAGUAGACACGUGUAGACACGCCCACGCCAUUUGUGACGGUAAAUGUGAGUUCGUAGAGUUGUUUUAAAAACCAUGUUUGCCAGAACAUAACCACAAAUUUUAUUCUAUUUUGUAUCAACUAUUUUCUAGCCCGACGUUGUUUCGAGUCGUUUAUUCCCGCUCGUGCUCCAUUCAAAUCUUGCGCGCGCUGACAGCAUUCGGUAUUUUCUGAGAGAUUUACAUCAGACGAAGGGAAGGUAAGUGCAGAUUCACAAAAUCAUUGUAAAUAACAUGUUUACAUAAAACAACACCAGAGGUUGUUCAAUGUUAUGUCGUUAUUUUCUGAUUGUGAACCGCAUUUUCUUUAUUACUCGCGCUGAUGUCUUGUUUUUUUUUUUUUUUAAACGUUAUUUCUUAGGAAAACUGUGUGUAACUUAGUGUUUUGAAAGCAUGGCCAAAUUCUUGACAAAUCUGUCCUAGCGAUUAUUACAAAAACUGUAAGACCAGAAACUUGAGUUUUAUUUGUGUAGAUAUACAGAGCCCCAUGGUUCAAAAACACUGUAGUAUACAAAUUACUAUAGUAUUUUUUCAUAUCGUGCGCAUGAUUGAGCAAAUCGAGGGAACGAAAUAGUAAAUCGUGCUCGAUUCAUGUGUGGGUGUUUGUGUAGAUGUAAUGAAUGCAGCUUCACACUCAUUUAUACUUCUGCCAUAAAGCAGCUGUGUGGCCGUCUUCUCGUUCACACACGUGUUCUCUGAAGAACACAGUUAAUAAUUUAAUAAUAAAAACUGUUGUUGCAAAUUGAAAACAGGUGCCAGGAAGAUGGAUUUGUCUUGGACCGGAGCAGAGAUGUGCCAGGUACCUGAACAUCGCUGCUAUGGGCUCUGUCCCUGAUGAGCCAGGAGGCUUGUGGGCUUAUAUUUAUGCCAAUCAUUUUAUUAGUCCGACAGCAUCACAUGUGGAGGACAACACCAAGCCGAUCGAUCAUGAGGUGGUCUGUCUAUUCCACGUGUGCGGAGUUCUUGAGCCAUGAGAGAGAGAGAACGAGCCGUCUGAACCAGCCACUGCUGCUUCAAGGCACUGAUCAUGUCGAUAACCAGAAUGGGACUGUAACAGCUCUGUGAUGCCUUGAUUAUGUCAGUAUCUUGUCCAGAAAUGUCAAUAGUGAUGCAUUGUACAGAUGGUUCUUCGCUGCAUCUUGGACAGGGCCAAACUCUGACGACACAUGCGACAUGUGAUCCAGUGACCGAACAGAGUCGAACCAGGAGGCAGCAGCUAUUGUCCGUGUUAUAUCUGUUCAGUCAUGUUUCUAUUUGGCUCUUUGGCAUGGCUAACAUACCUUGAAGCAGCAGUAUCGUUCAGACGGCUCGUUCUCUCUGUGAUUCGUGGCUCAAGUUCUCCGCACUCUUGGAUUUCUCAGCAGUCUUGUUGCCCUCUUCGCUGGUGAUGUUUGGGACAUUGUAGCUCCAGUGCACUCACUUGUGAUUGAGUUUGUCCUGAUUGUUUCAGGUGAAUGCAGCGGCACCGGCAUGAGUAAAGAAGUGCAUAUGCUACUUCCAGAUCAACCAGGUAGCCCCGGAUGGAGAACUGUGACACGCUGGCUUCCUACACGCGGGUCUCGCUCUGCUCGGGCCCGAGGCUCAUAUCAUCAUCAUCAUCAUCAUCAUUAUUAACACAAGAUUUUCUUUACAGACUCUCCUCUUGCCAGGACGAUGAUCAAGAGAGCGGUCAGACCAACAGAUUGGCAACAUACCAGACCGGGCAAUCUGGACUUGCCAAUCCCAGGUGAUCCAAGAGGGCUCAACGAGAUGUGCUCCAGGCUGCACCCAAUCUGCCUGAAGAAGAGCAGACCAGGCCGGUUCUGGCGCUCUCAGAGGAGCUGAACAGGGGUGUUCUGUGUCAGAUUGUGACCUGUUUGAGUGGCACAGCUCCACACCAUAGGACAUGUAGGACAGAUAUGCUGUCUGGGCAACCAGACAGUCACUCUGGAGGAAGCGAAGGCGGCAGCUUCUGCUCACGCUCCGUGGGGUAUUUAGCAAAGCCAUAGUACAGAGGGGCUUCUUUCUCCAGUGGAGAGAGAAGCCCUAGAAGAGCAGCACACUGCGUUUGUUUUAUUUAGGUUGCUGUUGCUUUGGUUUUGUUGUGUGUAUAUAGUUGGUUUCACGUUGUUUUAUGCUUUCAUGUAACUUUUAAUCUUGUUAAUUUCUAGUUUUCCCCAUGUUUCCUAAGAGUUUUUAUUGUUAUUUGGUUGUUAAUUAGUAUUGAUUGAUUUGUGUGUUCUUGUUUGUUCAAUAGUUUACUUUCUUUUAUUGUUCAUGUUUUAUGCUGUGCUUUGUAUAUAGUUCUUUUUUUAAAAUAAUAAAUAAUCUCCCUUAA